rnacentral:tRNA from 1 species
GCGCCAGUUCGCCUUGCGAGUCGGGCAGCGGCCUUCUGAGCUGAGGGUCGGGCGUUCGAGCCCCUCCUGUCGCGCCA